UGACUAAUAAUAUUGGUUGACAAUAAUAUGGUUGCCAACAGUGGUUUUGAUGGCAAGGAUGGCUGGUAGUUGGUGAUGAUGGUAAUUGUGAUGACAAAGGUGGUUAAUAGUUAUGGAUAGAGUGAUAGUGAAAAUUUUUCAUACAAAAUACCUAUUAAAUAAUCGUAUUGCUUUCAUUUAAUCAAAGUUUGAACCUAAAUCGUUCAUUCUUUAGCCAAUUAAGAGCAUUUGCUCACAUUAGGAUUUUAACACUUAUUUAAUUUAAA
rnacentral:lncRNA from 1 species